ACACACACACACACACGUGUGUUAUCAAAUCUUUGCUAAUGUGAUUAUGUUUAUUCUGCUGUAGAUCUUCUGCAAUCCGAAGAAAGAUAUAUACAAAGGAUUCAGGUGAUCGAAGAACAUGGGUCACCACCACCACGACGACGACGACGGUCACCAUCACCAUGGCACGUGUGAUCCAUUAUUGGUGGAGUGCUGUUGCAUCCCAUUUUAUCUAGUUUCGUACAUAAUCAGAGGGAUUAGGAGGUGCAUGUUUCUUGCUUGCUUCCCUGUUUUGCAGUGCUUUGGAUGUGAUGAACAUAGACAUCACCAUCACAACAGGCAUUUUUAUUGAUCCACCAUUCACACUUAUUUCUUUUUUCAUUCAAUUCAUAUCUGAUUUCUUUUCUUUUUCCUUUUCAGUUACCAAAAAAUAGAACUCUUGUUUGUGAAUCAAAUUUACUCUGUUUUGUUUGAUUGCAAUGUACAUUUUAUUUCCUUA